rnacentral:lncRNA from 1 species
CAGCAGGGAAGUUGUUAGGUCAACCCUUAGGUUUGCUAUUUUCUGUCCACACUGACAAGGAAGAUGGCACAUCACUUGGAAGCUCAUUGCCUCCUGCUUUCCCAGGGCCUUGCACCCUUCGAUCUGCUUUGGCACGUUAUGCAGAUCUGUUGAAUCCUCCUCGAAAGGUGAUAUUUGGCACAUUGCUAGUUAGUCUGUCUGCUAUCUCCUCCUCUCGGUGUGUUGAUAUUGUAACACUAAUUUAUUUACUGUAUUGUGUUGUCACUUGUCAGGCUUCUUUGAUUGCUUUGGCUGCUCAUGCCAGUGAACCCAGUGAGGCAGAAAGACUAAAAUUCCUUUCGUCACCGCAGGGGAAGGUCUCUGAAGCAUUUAUGUCCUUUUCUUAUUAUUUGCUCUUGUGAGUCAUCUUUGUCUGUUCUUGGCUUCUUGCUUAUGCUUGUCAUUCUUUUUUGUUAUCCAGGAUGAGUACUCCCAAUGGGUUGUUGCAAGUCAGAGAAGCCUUCUUGAGGUAAUGGCUGAGUUCCCAUCUGCAAGACCUCCACUGGGUGUAUUUUUUGCAGCAGUGGCUCCUCGCCUACAGCCUC